rnacentral:rRNA from 1 species
AGGACGAACGCUGGCGGCGUGCUUAACACAUGCAAGUCGAGCGGAAAGGCCCUUCGGGGUACUCGAGCGGCGCAAGGGUGCGUAACACGUGGGUAAUCUGCCAUGAAGUCCGGGAUAACUCGCUGAAAGGCGAGCUAAUACCGUAUGUGAAAAUCGGAAGGCAUCUUCUGAUUUUCAAAGCUGGGGACCGUAAGGCCUGGCGCUUCAUGAUGAGCCCGCGGCCUAUCAGCUAGUUGGUGAGGUAACGGCUCACCAAGGCUAAGACGGGUAGCUGGUCUGAGAGGACGACCAGCCACACUGGAACUGAGACACGGUCCAGACACCUACGGGUGGCAGCAGUCGAGAAUUUUUCAC